rnacentral:lncRNA from 1 species
GUCCCAUCUCCAGAACAGCAUACCAGAGCAGCACCACCUCCAGAACAGUCUACCAGAGCAACACCACCUCCAGAACCGUAUACCAGAGCAGCACCACCUCCACAACAGUCUACCAGAACAGCACCACCUCCAGAGCAGUACCACCUCCAGAGCAACACCACCUCCAGAGCAGUACCACCUCCAGAACAGUACACCGGAGCAGCACCACCUCCAGAACCAUAUACCAGAGCAGCACCACCUCCAGAGCAACACCACCUCCAGAGCAGCACCACCUCCAGAGCAGUACCACCUCCAGAUUAGUACACCGGAGCAGCACCACCUCCAGAACCAUAUACCAGAGCAGCACCACCUCCAGAACCAUAUACCAGAGCAGCACCACCUCCAGAGCAACACCACCUCCAGAGCAGCACCACCUCCAGAACAGUACACCGGAGCAGCACCACCUCCAGAACCAUAUACCAGAGCAGCACCACCUCCAGAGCAACACCACCUCCAGAGCAGCACCACCUCCAGAGCAGCACCACCUCCAGAACAGCACCUCCUCCAGAACAGCACCACCUCCAGAACAGUACACCGGAGCAGCACCACCUCCAGAACCAUAUACCAGAGCAGUACCACCUCCAGAGCAACACCACCUCCAGAGCAGCACCUCCUCCAGAACAGUAUACCAGAGGAACACCAUCUCCAGAACAGCAUACCAGAGCAGCACCAUCUCCAGAACAGUCUACCAGAGCAACACCACCACCAGAACAGCACCUCCUCCAGAGCAGCACCACCUCCAGAACCAUAUACCAGAGCAGUACCACCUCCAGAGCAACACCACCUCCAGAGCAGCACCUCCUCCAGAACAGUAUACCAGAGGAACACCAUCUCCAGAACAGCAUACCAGAGCAGCACCAUCUCCAGAACAGUCUACCAGAGCAACACCACCUCCAGAGCAACACCACCUCCAGAGCAGCACCACCUCUAGAGCAGCACCACCUCCAGAAGAGUAUACCAGAG